ACAAAGUCUAUUAGACGGAGAUCAAGAAACUCUUGAACGGUGAAACCCCACAUCGUCUGUGAACGAUGAAGACCAGACGAUAAAAGGGACGGAGUACAUUCUUCAGAGUACGACCUUACUUGAACAGGAUCUGUUCUAUAGGCUCGUACUUCUGUGUCCUUAAGUAUAAAGGAGACAAGAACCACAACUUGGAUGAUGACUGAAGAUCGCGUGACCAGAGCGUGAGUACUGGUCGGCUGCUCCAAACUUGUUUGGCUCAGCUUGGCCGCAGAGGAUCGUUCCCGUGGGGCUACCCCCCAUGGGAUGGUCGCGUGAUUGUCUUGACAGGUUCUCAAAUGUUUUUAUUACGGACCACCGCGUGCUUAUCAAAUCUCAGCCUCCGGUGAGCGCCGGAGAUCGACGGCGAUGACCACCCUCAAGGACCAGUGACGGUGGCUACGAAAGGUGCUUGAGAGGAGAUUGCUUCGAAUGGAGCGAGGGGGGUUAUAGUUGAAGAGAUAUAUCUCAGGUGUAGAAGAUAGUGGCAAAACACAAUGCUAAUGGAAUUUUUCUCUGAUGGGGCAUUCACGGUAAAAUCAUCCUAUGAACUGCUAAAGCAUGAAGAGGAGAAUUAUGGCAUCUAGUGUGGAUAUGUCCAGGAGAUCAACGUGUUAAAAAGGGAAACUUCUAAGUUCUAGCCAACAGUGAAUGGAAAAGGAGGAGACAAAUGAUUAUGACAGAUGAAUGGAUGAUUGAGUGGGUGGCCUCUGUAAUUAUGGAAGUGAAGAUAUAGAUUAUUGUAUCAAGAGGAUGCCCACGCAAAAGGGAUCUGGAGGUAGAAUUGAAAAUUUCUUUAGAACCAUGGAAUUAAUGGUUUAUCAAUAAUUUAAAGACGAGGCAUGCACGCUGAUAGAAAUGAGGGUGAAGCUUGCAAAGUUAAAUUCUGGUAUUGCCUGUUGGAAACUCUGGGAAUUCAAAACAUGACAUAGAGAUAGUUUGCAAAUACAAAUGAUGGUAGUGAUGAACAUGGUGGUUUUAUUAGCCUAAGGUGUAAAAUUUCAUGCUGACUUCUGCUUCUCUGGCACUUGUACUUAAUAAUUUAAGUUAAAGGUUUAGUAUUCAAUUUUCAUAUUGUACCCUAACAGGAAUAGUGUCUUAUUGUCUGAGAGCUUAAUAAAAUUGAGUGUGACUUAUAUGAGAUGGAGAUAUCUUUUGACUAAUAAUGCAGUGAAUCAUUUUCUUUAAGGAAAAGUGAGAUUCUGCACAUCAUAUCAGCAAUUUCCUAACUGUAGAAGCAGACACAAGCAAAAAGGGGCAAAAAGCAAAAAGUCUAACGUGAUGAAUUCGGCCAUCACUGCCAUUAUUUUAUAUAUUUUAGCUGAAAAGGUCUAAAAUAUUCUAUUUAAAUGUUAUUUUUGCUCAUUCUGAGAUCUCUACAUAAGUUUUCGUAGUCAUUAUAAUCAAUGAAAUGGAAUAUAUAUCAAAACAACCUAUAAUUGUAUAUUUAGGUCGAAAUAGGAGAAAACUAAUAAACCAAAUGAUCAAAUCAAUCUACACUCUCAACGGAAGGAAAAGUGAAGUUUCAUUAUGCAGAGUUUGGAAUGUCCUCUACAAUGAGAUUGUGACUGCUGUAGAUAUAUUAGACAGUGUUGUAUUUUCUUCUUAGAUGGACUGAAAUUUAAUCAGUUUAAAUUUUUAAUGUGUAUCAUUCACUAUUUAAAAAUUUCAGAACCACUCCUAAGAUUUCGUGGAGCAGCAUCCAAAUUAUUAUGGCUUUUAUCUGGAAGAACCUUCCAUGUUCUCCGUCUUUAUUUUUCCUCUUCUUUUGCAUUUAUCAAAAUCAAAUAAUAACUGGAAAUUCUGUAGUUCCCUUAGAGGCGAAUGUCACACUAACAUUAAUCCUUUGUGUAUGUGGGUCCUAUACAUAUUCAUCAUCGAUACUUUGCAAGUUUCUAUGCUUCACAGGUGUCCACCUUAUUAAGUUAUUUGUUUUAGCAUGGCUUGAAGCAUGCUUUGCAAAUUUGGAAAAACUCCUUUUUGAUUUACUUCUUAUAGUAUUUGUACAGAAAAAAUAAAUCAAGGCUCAGUUGCAAGUUUUGCUGUGGUUUGGUGUAUUAGUUUCGAUCAAAAUACAUUAUCUUCAAGGUUUCAAUGAAUUUUGAGAUGGGAUCUUUCUGGUGGUUGCCAUUUAUGCAGUUUCUGCUUGAUCUACAUAGGGCGAUCAAGCAGCUUUGUUACAGUUUUAAUUCCUUUUCCUUUCGUUUUCUCUUUUUUUGUACAUUUUUAAUUUUUUGUUGGGGGAUUCUUCUGAUUUACGGUACUUUUCUGCAUUGGAUUCUUUUACCAGUAAGGAAAUAUCUAACUGUUGAUCGAUUUCCACAAUAAAAGAAUUUCUUGAGUAUGAUCUCUUGUGUAUGCGGAAAUAUACUUCAUGUAAUUUUUCAUUUUUCUUUUGACACCACAACCAUGUUCUAUUAUAUAUGUGGAAAUUGUUUUUUCAGACUGUUUUCUUCAUCUUGUUUGCAUUAUCUGGUGGCAUUGUUGGUGAUUGUGAUUUGAGUUCUUCCAUUUGCUGGACCUCUUCUCGUCGUACACUGGGUAACAACCUAGUUGCCAAGGGCACAUGUCCAGCUUGCAGAACGCAAUUCGCUGGCUACAAGAACCGAAUAAUUAGAUGUACAAGCUAUGGCAACCCAAAGGAGAUUUCUUCUUUAAGGAAGGAAGAAGAACAUCCUCUUCUAAAUCAGAUCCUGAUAUAAUUGAUGUUGACUUUGAGGAGAAUUGAAGAGAUGCAUGGUCAGCAUUUAUGAUGAUUCUGGACUUCACAGUGGAAAGAUACAGCAAAUUGACUACACAGUGCUCCUGUUUGUUUAUUUGUAGUGUACUUGAUUCUGUUAGAUUGAGUUUUGGUUCUUUACACAGUGCCUUAAGUGCUUAGUGGGUUUGUUCAUGGACUUGUAAAAUCUUUAUUGAUACUACGAGUCUAUUGAUUAGAUGAGAGAGAGAAAUGCAAAUUGAUGUGAAUCAUAUUUUACAUGCCUUGUUGCAACCUUGAAUGUAUAGAAAUAAUCUGUUGCCCUCAAAUGUUUUGUCAUUUUUCUUUAAAUUUCAAUCGGAAUGGUGUUGUUAACGUUCUUAGAAGGAGAAA